ACCCUGCCUCUUCCAGUUCUCCUCCAUGCCAAUCCACUGCUACAGACGUGGUGUUUUCAGAGACUCAGGCGAACUGACCAGCUGCAGCAUCGUCACUUAUGGACUACUUUUGUGGUGACUUGGGGAAGGUGUCAGAAGCAGCCCAGCUCAGCUCAGGAGACCUGGUUCUUUGCUUUCUCCCCAACUCCUCCUUUAGUGACCUCGCACUGGUAAGCUACCGCCCUCAUGACCACGGAGUGUUUACACCACAGGAAUUGGCAGGUACUCCAUGUCAGAGCUUCUUGUUCUCCAAGAGCUGAUUUAUCAGCUAUACCACUGCAGGUUGCUUCCAGCUAGAGCUCUGAUUGAUGGCCACAGAGGAUCUCAUUUCAUCCUUAUAUGCAGCCGGUAAGGAAUGUUUUAUAAUCGUCUUUCUCCGAUGAGGAAUCUCAAAGAGAUGAAGCGAUUGUUCAUAGUCAGAUAUACCCCCACAAACAAACCAAAAAGAUCAUGCAAAUAUCUACAGUAUCCAUGGGGCACUUCCCAGCCUAGGCUCGUCUGAAUCCUGUGUCUUGGCAGCAAGCCAUCAGGUCAGAGUUCAGCUGCAGAAGAAGCACAUCUUCAGAUUUGAAACCCAGCCUGCCUUGUAGUUCAAAAUGCCCAGUGUGUUCCAUGAAAACUAACUAACUAACUAAAUAAAUAACACCACCUCUUACAUUCAGAGGGAAUGAGAUUGGAAGCAGAUUAACAGACUUGAGGGAGGCAAGUGGCUUUACCUUGAGGCUCUCAGAAUCUGGGCCUGGGAGUUGGGGGCUGACAGGCCACAUGAAGAGCCCCUGUGCUUAUCUUCAGGGCCCAGACUUCUAACAUCUGCACAGCUAUGUGGGUACAGCUCUGGCCAGAUGCCACAUCCUAGGAGUCAAGACGACUUUACUCAGAGAGGCCCAGUGAUGCCGCCAUCUUGUUCCAGGUUUCUGAGGAAGUGGCAGUGCUCCUCAGGCCCAGGGACACCCUCCCACCUGACAGAC